GGGCACAGUCCGACAGCGCGGCCUCGGCCUGCACGUUCUUGGAGGAACACACCGGCGCCGCUGCUCUGCUCGCCAUCUUUUUGCCAGGAACUGGGGAGGAGAUGAAGUUCUGGGCACACAGAGGUCACCUACCAGCUCAUACAUGAAGUCUGGAUCCGAGCUGCUCGCCAGGAGAUCCGUGCUCAUCAGAGUCUGCUCUGAAAACAGGUGGCUCCGAAAGGCAUCCCCAAAAGGAGGGUCCAUUCCACUCACACUGGGCUACAACACAAUGCACAGACAUUUCAAACGUGAUGUGAAAAGGCACAUUUUCAUCUUCAAAAAACAGAAAGAGGAUCACCAUUCCUCCUAGUCUCAGAAGGUUUUUACCACUGCAGAUCAGCACAUCAUUCCCCAGAGGCAGAGAAUGCUUCACGAGCAGCUGACAACAUGCAGGAGCAAUCAAAGGAUAUAUUUCUAUCCACCACAGAGCUGCAAGAGCAUUCACUGCUCCUUCAUUCUUCCCUGUUGGUUUGAAAAUCUUAUGUUUAUCACAUUUUGGGAUAUGUUGGCAUUUGUAGAAGAUGAGGGCCAGCACUGGCAAGAUUUGGAAGUCCCUCUAAUACAAGUAAUUCUGUACUGAAGCAGUGUUGACUGUGUUUAGAGCCAUUAGAACUCAUAAAACUUCUAUAUAAAAUUGUAAGGAAAGCUAAAUUUAUGACGACCAAAUCUAGAUUGUUACCUCUCUCUCAAGAACGAAGUGAAAUUUGGCAAAAAAAGCAUUAUGCAGGAUGACUGGGCAUGCAGGGAAUGGGCAGCAGGGCCUUCUGCUACAUUUAAUUCCAGACCUCAAUUUCUCUUCUAGACGCUCUCACCCUGAGGGUUGGGGAGGCAGAGACACUGUGCUGCUGAAAGUCAUUGAGUGUGCUGAGUGUGAAUCACUGCAGUAAUAAAAGGCUGUUCUGCUCUCCAGGCAUCCUCCCUCACCCACAGACAAUGUGGCUGGAGCUUGAACAACACAGCACCAAGAGCAGCACCACAGCUUCUACCACACACACUACAGGCACCCUACAAAAUAUACAUCCUUUAAUCUCCUACACAUCUUCCCUCCUAGUGCUGGUCAGAUCUGUUCUUAAACAGAGGCAAAAAUAUUUACAGAAGCAAAUAAAAUCCUAGCAGACUUACCUGAGGCAUUUCCAAGCCCAGAUUCCCCAAAUCCAAUUCCAAACUUCUUGUUUUAUUCACUUGUAGAUUCCUUUCCAGCUUUACUUCAGUCUCAAGGAGUUUACACCAUCCAUGCAAUGAAAUUUUUCCUUAGGAUAACUUCAGUUCACCCUGAUGGAGCUUUUCUAUUUGU